rnacentral:rRNA from 1 species
AACGAACGCUGGCGGCAGGCUUAACACAUGCAAGUCGAGCGCCCCGCAAGGGGAGCGGCAGACGGGUGAGUAACGCGUGGGAAUCUACCCAUCUCUACGGAAUAACGCAUGGAAACGUGUGCUAAUACCGUAUACGUCCUUCGGGAGAAAGAUUUAUCGGAGAUGGAUGAGCCCGCGUUGGAUUAGCAAGUUGGUGGGGUAAAGGCCUACCAAGGCGACGAUCCAUAGCUGGUCUGAGAGGAUGAUCAGCCGAACUGGGACUGAGACACGGCCCAGACUCCUACGGGAGGCAGCAGUGGGGAAUAUUGGACAAUGGGCGCAAGCCUGAUCCAGCCAUGCCGCGUGAGUGAUGAAGGCCCUAGGGUUGUAAAGCUCUUUCACCGGUGAAGAUAAUGACGGUAACCGGAGAAGAAGCCCCGGCUAACUUCGUGCCAGCAGCCGCCGUAAGAC